GGCUGGCAGAAUGGAGCUAUGAGGGAGCUGGUGCACAUCUUGGAGAGACUGUUCUUUUCCAUUUUGGAGACUCUGACCUUGUGAGUUUUCAAAGUUCAAGUGAGUAAACCUCCACGAUCUGGGUUUUGCAGCCAGCCCAGCAUAGAUGCCCUGAGAACCAAUGAACAACCAUCAGGACCCAGCCCAGUGAUAACUGACACAAGAUCUCACCAACAGCGAUGCCAUAUUUGGACAUGAACUUGGUGGAACCAAUGUUAUGCAGAAACUGAGUUGGGUCUGAGCCCACUCUCCACAGAGAGUGGUAUGGGGAGAGUGUGCCCCUAAUGUGUUGGGAGAAAUGUUUGUACAUUUGUUCUUUUAAGUAAAUGUCCCUUUGAAAUAGCUAA